GUGGCUGAACCAAAUUUGCAUUCCCACCAACAUGUUAGUUACUUCCUUCUAUUGGCCAACCAGUUAUGCUGAAAACAAUGCAUAAGAAGGAAAAGAAAAGGCAAAUUAUCUGUGAACCGAGGAGGACUUCAACAAUAGUUCAUAAUAACUGAUUUGGAGCUGUUAUAGUCAGAAUUGCAAAAACAAAACAAGCAAGAUUUCAUACAAAAGCAGAGCUGCACUUGAAAAUGAAAGGAUGUUAACGUGUCACCGACUGCACAUUUUUUAUCUCAGUUAAGGUGUAAAAUUAUAAGAUGUUGUUGAAGUAAUUCAGUCAA